ACCUUUGUCCGAGAAGGAGAUGAUCACUUACCUUCUCAAUGGUCUUGGUUCCUCCUAUGAAUCAUUUGUGACCUCCAUUACCACGCGCAGAGACCCCAUUUCUUUCUAUGAACUCUAUCAAUUGCUGCUUAUCUAUGAAA